AACGSGAAAGAACCUUACCUGGGCUUGACAUGUGCSUGAUCGGCGUGGAAACAYGUCUUCCCUCACGGGCAGGUUCACAGGUGGUGCAUGGCUGUMGUCAGCUCGUGUCGUGAGAUGUUGGGUUAAGUCCCGCAACGAGCGCAACCCCCGUCGUAUGUUGCCAGCAUUUAGUUGGGGACUCAUGCGAGACUGCCGGUGGCAAACCGGAGGAAGGUGGGGAUGACGUCAAGUCAUCAUGCCCCUUAUGUCCAGGGCUACACACGUGCUACAUUGGCGUAUACAAAGGGUUGCGAUACCGCGAGGUGGAG
rnacentral:rRNA from 1 species